UCCAGACUCCUACGGGAGGCAGCAGUGGGGGAUAUUGCACAAUGGGGGGAACCCUGAUGCAGCGACGCCGCGUGGGUGAAGGAGCGUUUCGGCGCGUAAAGCCCUAUCGGCAGGGAAGAAGGAGGACGGUACCUGACUAAGAAGCCCCGGCUAACUACGUGCCAGCAGCCGCGGUAAUACGUAGGGGGCAAGCGUUAUCCGGAUUUACUGGGUGUAAAGGGGGCGCAGACGGCAGCGCAAGCCAGGAGUGAAAGCCCGGGGCCCAACCCCGGGACUGCUCUUGGAACUGCGCGGCUGGAGUGCAGGAGGGGCAGGCGGAAUUCCUGGUGUAGCGGUGAAAUGCGUAGAUAUCAGGAGGAACACCGGUGGCGAAGGCGGCCUGCUGGACUGCGACUGACGUUGAGGCCCGAAAGCGUGGGGAGCAAACAGGAUUAGAUACCCCCGUACA
rnacentral:rRNA from 1 species